CUUAAAGCCCUCAAAUCACUUAAAACAAAUAAAAGUCCUGGACCUGACAAAGUAUAUCCAACUCUGCUGAAAGAAACAAAGUGCGAAAUACUCUCCUCCCUCACAACCGUAUUCAAUAUGUCCUUGCGACAAGGCAUCGUCCCUUCAGAUUGGAAAAAGGCUAACGUGACACCGAUUUUCAAGAAAGGAGACAAAAAAGUACCAGGUAAUUACAGGCCCAUUAGUCUAACUUCGGUUGUAGGUAAGCUACUUGAGGGCAUAAUUAGAGACAAAAUUGUGAGUUACCUUGAAAGCCACUCAUUGAUUGGGGACUCACAACAUGGCUUCCGAAACAAAAGAUCCUGCCUAUCAAACCUAUUAACCUUUUAUAACGACCUCUUCACUGUUUAUGACGUAACCAAAUCACUGGACGUAGUCUAUCUUGAUUUCCAGAAAGCGUUUGAUAAAGUCCUGCAUCAUAAAUUACUUUACAAAUUAAAGCAAAUAGGUAUUGACGGUCAAGUAAACCAAUGGAUCGCGAAUUGGUUGAGCAACAGACAACAAAGAGUAGUGAUUGACGGAUUUAACUCAGAGUGGGCGCCUGUCACUAGUGGCGUC